CACGUAGUUAGCCGUGGCUUAUUCAAGGGGUACCGUCUUCUGCUCUUCCCCCUUAAAAGAAGUUUACAACCCGAAAGCCUUCUUCCUUCACGCGGCGUUGCUGGGUCAGACUUGCGUCCAUUGCCCAAUAUUCCCCCACUGCUGCCUCCCGUAGGAGUCUGGGCCGUAUCUCAGUCCCAAUGUGGCCGGCCAACCUCUCAGUCCGGCUACUGAUCGUCGCCUUGGUGAGCCGUUACCUCACCAACUAGCUAAUCAGACGCGAGGCCAUCUUUCGGCGAUAAAAUCUUUGACAUGUCUGCGAUGCCACAGUCAUGUGUCAUGCGGUAUUAGCAGUCGUUUCCAACUGUUGUCCCCCUCCGAAAGGCAGGUUCCUCACGCGUUACUCACCAGUCCGCCACUAAGCGUUCCCUUCCAUUGUCCGAAAACUCUUUCAGGGGCGCUCCGUUCGACUUGCAUGUGUUAAGCACGCCGCCAGCGUUCGUCCUGAGCCAGGAUCAAACUCU
rnacentral:rRNA from 1 species